rnacentral:sRNA from 1 species
GCUCCCGGCGGGCGUGUGCAGCCCGCAGAUUCAGGACGACCCGGCUGCCAGGCUUAGCGCCUUUGGAGCUCCGCGCUGAAGGGGCCUUGCUCCGCACAGGCACGGCACGCAAGCUUUUGGGGUGCCCAGUGGCUCUGUUUUCAAGUCAGCCGGCCCGCAGGGUGCGGACCUUUCCACAUCUCACUUGGGCCGCUAGAAAAUAGAAGGUGGGGAAGGAGUUUCUUGGGGUGCAUUCUGCAAGCUACCAGCCUCCCUCCUGGCCCAAGAGGCUUCGUGACGGAGUUAUCAGAGACAUUGAGAGGCAAAUUCGGAAAAAAGAAAACAUUCGUCUUUUAGGAGAACAGAUUAUUUUGACUGAGCAACUUGAAGCAGAAAGAGAGAAGAUGUUAUUGGCAAAAGGAUCUCAAAAAUCAUGACUUGAAUGUGAAAUAUCUGUUGGACAGACAACACGGGUUUGUGUGUGUGUGUUGAUGGAGAGUA